CGUUGGUCUUUUGGGCACUCAGUGUUCGAGACGUUUCCUUACGGUCGGCCUGUGUGUGGUUCGGUCUCCAUAUUCCGCGGAUGUUUUCACCUCAGCGUUUGAGUCUCACUCGCGGACAGCCCUAGUCUUGAGGGUAAAGACCCCCUUAACCGUCUUCAGAGACGGCGGGGCUUCACCUCCGAGCCACCAGCGCUGGCCUAGUGUCGCGCCGGCCGGAGAUACGCGGGCUGGCGACCACGAGGCCGCGUGCCUAGCCCAGAGGCUGCCCUCCCUUCCGCUCCGCGCGUGGGCUCGCGUGCGGCCG
rnacentral:lncRNA from 1 species